GCUCUGAUGGCGAAAUCGGUAGACGCGAAGCACCCAAAAUGCUUUACCUGAAAAGGUGUGAGAGUUCAAAUCUCUCUCGGAGCA
rnacentral:tRNA from 1 species